UACGUAGGGGGCAAGCGUUGUCCGGAAUCAUUGGGCGUAAAGAGCGUGUAGGCGGCUCGGUAAGUCCGCUGUGAAAGUCCAGGGCUCAACCCUGGAAUGCCGGUGGAAACUGUCGAGCUAGAGUCCGGAAGAGGCGAGUGGAAUUCCUGGUGUAGCGGUGAAAUGCGCAGAUAUCAGGAGGAACACCAAUGGCGAAGGCAGCUCGCUGGGACGGUACUGACGCUGAGACGCGAAAGCGUGGGGAGCGAACGGG
rnacentral:rRNA from 1 species